UCGAGAUCUUCAGAAUUGGUUUGGCAACCACUGUGGCAACUCGUGUCUACAGUAAAUGUCUUGUCAAUUCUCCGGCCGCAACUCCGAAUAAACCCAACAGUGUUUUGCCAUCAAGUUCCUGCUCUCCAGCGUCUCUCUGUUUCGUCUCCAUUGCUACAGAGUUUCCACCACAAGUUGGCGUUGUCGGCAGGAUACCAACACAUCAUCAGAACUGAAAACAUCCCUAUCAGGUGGGGUCCAGAUAACCAGGACUGCUCUCAAGGCCAAGGGUGAGACAGGAAGGGUCCACACUGUCCAGGUGCAAAGAGCCCCUCCAGCCACCUGCAAGGAAGCACGAUGCCGAGGCGAGAUGAGAGGGGUUUGUUCUCUUCACAUUCUGCUCGGUGGGCUCCAGCCUGCUGCAGGACGAGGUCGGGUUCGGAGGUCGGAUUCGGAGGUCGGGUUCGGAGGCUUCUAUAAUACGAGGAUCCAUGUUUUCUUGGAGGAAUAUAUUGUUUUGCCAAUCUCUCCUAUCAUGGGGGGACACCUGGAUGCGCCACGUGGAAUACGCAGUGGCCCUGCUCUCACCAUUGAUAGCAGGAGGAAUACAGGCGGAUGAGCCUCUGUUUCACUGGAGGGGUCCACUACAGAGCUCAUUGAAUGAGCCACACUAAAGAGCAAUUGGGGGGGGGGGUUGAAAUAAGGCUUUCGUUCUGAUGAAGAAGAGUUUUAAUCAAUCAGCACCUCAGUGCUAAUCCACAGUGUCAGGAUGCCUUUACACACCAGACACUCAGAAAGGUUUCCUAAAGAGAGGAGGAGAACAAGUCGGAGAGACUGUUUAUUUUUCCAGCUCUCGUACAAAGAUGAACUCUGAAUUGAAUAAACAGUUUCCAGAAGUACAAUGAAUGAUUGUUUCUAUAUUUCCAAUGACCAAACAUAGUGGUUAUUAAUAUAUUUUGUCAGAUCAGGUUACACUUUCAAAAUAAAAAUACAUAAAUAAACUGUUUUCUGAUUAUAGGAUAUUGAACGAUAAGAUAUUUGCAAUAUUAUCACAGAUAAUGUUAAUAUCAUCUAAAAAAUCUGACUUAACAACACAAACUAAAACUAAUGUAUGUAUAAUCAUUUAUAUAACAAUGACUCAGCAUAAUUGUUCCUCCAAUUAGAGAAUGAUAAUCUUAAAAAUGGAUAUCCCAUAUUCAACAUUAGAUAAACACAAACCCUUUCAAAGUACCACAAGUACAUUUUCGGCUAUGUAUGGCUAAUCAAAAGUAAUUGAUUGAGUUAGUUUGGUACAGAUCAGUUGUAGCAUUUACAAUGAUACAUGUAUCUAUGAAUUCAAGUUUUAAGAAUGCUUAAUCCUUCCUUUCCAGGGUUUGCCUUUUCUUCUUGAGAUUGUUAAACAUGUUAUUUAAAUUAUUUAACUUUUCCUUUUCAGAUUUUGAAAUAACAUUGAUUUGAUAAACUUUGCUUCCUUGACUUUGACUAGAAUGAAAUAGCAUUGAUUUGAUUUUUAUUUUGAGCAAAAUAAACAUAAUUGUAAUCAUAGGUGGAGUGGCACUUCAGCCUUACAAUUUCUGCACUGAUUGAUUUUAACUGUUGCCUGAAUUAAGUAAUGUUAAUGAUAUACUGACUAGUGUUCAGCUUACAACUGUAGCUCAGUUUUGAUUUAUAGAUUUAUAGCUUCAAAGUAAAUAAAUAAGUAAAACAAUUAAGGAUAAUCUGAUAAAGAUAAGCGACAACAAAUAAUUAAUGAUAAAACUUAUUAAAACUUUAAAUGCUCAUGUUGUUAUGUCACUGUGAAUUUCCUGUAGGUUUAUCACUGUGCUUUAAAGAAGAUGCUCCAGAACACUGUUGCAAGAUGAUUUGUAUUGUGACUGGUGCAAUGUGAAAUAUUGAUUGUUUGCAACAAUUUGUAGAAUGCCAACAACCUUUCUGAAGAGUCUCAUUUUUACAAGUCCACACAAAUUUGAGAUUACGGUUUAUUAAGUUAUCAAAAUUGAUAAAAAGAGAAGAACUGUUAGGGAAUAUUUUGUGUAAGCUUGUAAAUCUUGAGCUCAUUUACAUCUCUUCUCUCUGUCCUCCUCUGACCUGGCUCUACGGCCUUGCAGGUGCUGUUAUCUGCAUUAAGGAGGGGCAGCCUGGGCUUCCAAAGCCUUGUUGUUCCCACAGUGGGUAAAAGCUCAAGCUGACCUAAGAUUGGCUUUAUUUAAUCUAUUGUUAUGCCACGGUAAACACCUUAUCUGUGAACUAGAUGACAGUUUAAGUUAAUCGUAUUGUUCGAGCUUGUUUAGUCUGACGUUUGAAUAAUGUUGAUUACUCAUUUGGAACUAGUUAAAACUUCUUCGUAUUGUCGAGAUCUUCAGAAUUGGUUUGGCAACCGCUGCGGCAACUCGUGUCUACAGUAAAUAUCUUGUCAAUUCUCCGGCCAUAACUUUGAAUAAACCCAACAGUGUUUGCCAUCAA